rnacentral:rRNA from 1 species
AGUGAACGCUGGCGGUAGGCCUAACACAUGCAAGUCGAACGGCAGCACAGUAAGAGCUUGCUCUUACGGGUGGCGAGUGGCGGACGGGUGAGGAAUAUAUCGGAAUCUACUCUUUCGUGGGGGAUAACGUAGGGAAACUUACGCUAAUACCGCAUACGAUCUACGGGUGAAAGCAGGGGAUCUUCGGACCUUGCGCGAUUGAAUGAGCCGCUGUCGGAUUAGCUAGUUGGCGGGGUAAAGGCCCACCAAGGCGACGAUCCGUAGCUGGUCUGAGAGGAUGGUCAGCCACACUGGAGCUGAGACACGGUCCAGACUCCUACGGGAGGCAGCAGUGGGGAAUAUUAGACAAAGGGCGCAAGCCUGAUCCAGCCAUCCCGCGUGUGUGAAGGAGGCCUUCGGGUUGUAAAGCCCUUUUGUUGGGAAAGAAAAGCAGCAGGUUAAUACCCCGCUGUUCUGACGGUACCCAGAGAAUAAGCACCGGCUAACUUCGUG